rnacentral:lncRNA from 1 species
AGUGUCGCUCUUGGCUCCGCCCUCGGCAUUUCAUUGCUUCCCCUGUCCUUCCUUUAGCUGUAACUCCGGCGGGCGUGUUGGGUGUGUCGUUUUAGGCUCUGUGACCCAGGAGCAAGACGCAAUAAGCGGGUGCAGUGGAGGUAGAAACGGGAAAUGCAGUACCCUUUCCGGAAGCUACUCCGCCCCUCGGUGAGUGUUAGAUUCCCCCCCCGAACUACAAUUCCCAGAAUGCUGUUCGAGCAUGCCCGAAGGCGGAACCAGAGUGUCGCCAUGCAACUGUUCCUUGGUUGUUUCCGAUUGGUUGCCCGGACUUCUCGCGGCUAAACUAAUUUUGGCUCCAAGGCGGCGUGAAGAGUGUGAUUCUGUUCAGCGACCGUGAUUCUGUUCAGCGACCAUGAUGUUGAGCCCCUAAUUGAGAGUCUGUUACCACUAUUAAUAGCUACUCUGUUCGGGCCCUACACAUAACGGUGUAUCUAAACCUCUCUACAAUUUUAUGGACAGAGUCUUGCUGUGUCGCCCAAGCUAGAGUGCAGUGGUGUCAUCUGGGCUCAUUGCAACCUCCGCUUCCUGGAUUCAAGCAAUUCUCAUGCCACAGCCUCCCAAGUAGCUGGGACUACAGGAACCUGUGGUGAUAAGGAAGAUGUGAGCCUGGAGAUACAGAAGCUACCACAUGAAUGUUAAAAAUGAAGCUGACGCAGCAAAAGGCAGUGCCAAGGAACUAAAAGAAAACAAAUUUUGAUUACAUUUUUGGAGUUCCUGGGUCAAGCAGUUCAUGACACUGAGGCUUUUCCGCUACAUGAAUAAGUACUUUUUCUUUCCCGUUAAAGUGGGUUUGUGCUGGCUUCUCUAUCACUCACAACAACUGGAUACUAACUGAGGCAACACUUCCUACCUCUUACACACAUUACACCCAUAAAACAGAAACAACAUCUAAAAUUAGAUUUCAACACAGCUACCAAGCAGAAAAGUUCAAAUCAACAAGUUAUGGAUAAUGUUUUAUUGAAACUACAUUUCUCCUCCCAAUGUCUGUGGGUCAGCUGGGAUAACUCUGCUUCAGACUGUGGGUCAUCUUGGCUUGGCAGACUUUAGGUUAAACAUAAGACUGUGUGUCUCAUUCUGGGGCCCAGACUGAAGGGAUAGCAGCUAGCUGGUGCAUGCUGUCUUCGUGGCAAUCACAGGGGUGCGAGAGGCGGAGCUGAAGGACGCAAGCACAUUUAAGUCUUUUGCGUGUGUCAUGUUCAAUGACAUUCCAUGUCCAGAGCCAGCUACAUGGGUGGAUCAUGAAUAGAGGGGAGAAAUACACCCCACCCACUUCAGUGAGCUUUAGGUUUACAUGACUGAGGGAUGGAGGGAAGAAUUUUGGACAAUAAUCUCAUCUAGUACAUAUGGCUUCAAUUUGUAUGAACCCUAUCUCUACUCCUCCAACCUUCUGAUCUCAACUGCUAUUGCUAAUAUGACCUGUGGGAGCGAGAGGACUUUCUAUAACUAGGCUGAAUUUUAAAGGAAGAGAAUGACUUCCAGAUAGCUUAUUGGCUAUCAAUCUAGGAGCUCUUACAGCUGAGAAACAUUUUGACCCAACCCUCUGGCUUCUUUGUUGAUUUAUUUUUCUGAUAAAAUUCAUUUUUUUAAAUAUUAAGCUUUAAGAAGUACAUGUGUUUUAAUGCAGUAAAAAAUAAAGCAUAUAUGAUUCAAUCAUUUGUAAAUAUACAGUAUAACUAGUAAGAAAUAAGGGGUCUCAUUCACACCCAGAUUUAUAGGAGCCAGCACUAUGUGCUCGGUAUAUAAUAGAAGCUCAGUUAGUAUUUGUUGAUUGAAGUACCUUUUCUUAUUUACUAAUGAUUAUUAUUAACAGAUAAUAAUUUGGGCCUGAAAUAGACAUUUCCUUUUUUAAUAUAAUUAUAUAUAUGUGCAUAUAUAUAUCAUCAAUAUCCUCUGACUUUAUUAGUGACUGUUAACCACGUCGAAAAAAGUAAAGGUGUUUAUUAUGCAUGCAUAGAAAAAUGAUAUGUUUGUGUUCGCUCUUUUUAGGACCAAGAAAAAAUUAUUGGUUGCUGUUUUCUCAGUUUUGGUUUUUUUUAAAAUAAAUUUUACUGUGUGUA